UCCCUGGUGACUCAGUGGGUAAAGAAUCUGCCUGCAAUGCAGGAGACCCAAGUUCAAUCCCUGGGUCGGGAA
rfam:TPA: Bos taurus chromosome 9, whole genome shotgun sequence.